rnacentral:lncRNA from 1 species
AAAAUAAUGAAUUAAAAAUAAUGAUUAAUAAUAAUAAAUUAUUAAAUGAUACUCACGGUAUGUGAAUUUUUAAGAUUAUUUUUUUUUAAGAGAUAGAUAGUAUAUUAUUCGUUCUGAAAAUGUGAAUCAACUAAGGCUUAGUUUGGUAUUAAGACGUAUUACGUACGAUUCCAACGUACUUUCUCACCGCACGUAACGCAAUCUCUCCGCAAUCCCAAACGGAGUCUAAGAUUCGAACUGAAAACCUCAAAUACUAAUCAUUAAGUUCUUGGCUACUUGUGCUAGGAAACGUCGGUGAAUUUUUAAGAUUAUUGAAAGUCAAAAGUUUGAGUUUUUCAGUUUGUGAUAGUAAAAUAGAAUCUUAGAGUG